rnacentral:rRNA from 1 species
AUUGAACGCUGGCGGCAGGCCUAACACAUGCAAGUCGAACGGUAGCACAGAGAGCUUGCUCUCGGGUGACGAGUGGCGGACGGGUGAGUAAUGUCUGGGAAACUGCCCGAUGGAGGGGGAAAACUACUGGAAACGGUAGCUAAUACCGCACAACGUCGCAAGACCAAAGUGGGGGACCUUCGGGCCUCACACCAUCGGAUGUGCCCAGAUGGGAUUAGCUAGUAGGUGGGAUAAUGGCUCACCUAGGCGACGAUCCCUAGCUGGUCUGAGAGGAUGACCAGCCACACUGGAACUGAGACACGGUCCAGACUCCUACGGGAGGCAGCAGUGGGGAAUAUUGCACAAUGGGCGCAAGCCUGAUGCAGCCAUGCCGCGUGUAUGAAGAAGGCCUUCGGGUUGUAAAGUACUUUCAGCGGGGAGGAAGGCGGUGAAGUUAAUAGCUUCACCGAUUGACGUUACCCGCAGAAGAAGCACCGGCUAACUCCGUGCCAGCCGCCGCCGUAA